rnacentral:rRNA from 1 species
UACGGAGGGUGCAAGCAUUAAUCGGAAUUAUUGGGCGUAAAGGGCGCGUAGGCGGAAAUGUAAGUCAGAUGUGAAAUCCCGGGGCUCAACCCCGGAACAGCAUUUGAAACUGUAUUUCUAGAGGAUAGGAGGAGAAAAUGGAAUUCCACAAGUAGCGGUAAAAUGCGUAGAUAUGUGGAAGAACACCAGUGGCGAAGGCGGUUUUCUAUCUUAUACCUGACGCUGAGGCGCGAAAGCAAGGGGAUCAAAC